AACGAACGCUGGCGGCAGGCUUACCACAUGCAAGUCGAGCGCCCCGCAAGGGGAGCGGCAGACGGGCGAGUAACGCGUGGGAAUCUACCCAUCUCUACGGAAUAACGCAUGGAAACGUGUGCUAAUACCGUAUACGUCCUUCGGGAGAAAGAUUUAUCGGAGAUGGAUGAGCCCGCGUUGGAUGAGCUAGUUGGUGGGGUAAAGGCCUACCUAGGGGACGAUCCAUAGCCGGUCUGAGAGGAUGAUCAGCCACACUGGGACUGAGACACGGCCCAGACUCCUACGGGAGGCAGCAGGGGGGAAUAUUGGACAAUGGGCGCAAGCCUGAUCCAGCCAUGCCGCGUGAGUGAUGAAGGCCCUAGGGUUGUAAAGCUCUUUCACCGGUGAAGAUAAUGACGGUAACCGGAGAAGAAGCCCCGGCUAACUUCGUGCCAGCCGCCGCCGUAAAAC
rnacentral:rRNA from 1 species